rnacentral:piRNA from 1 species
UAGAGAAAGGGAUGGGUUUAAAAGAA